rnacentral:lncRNA from 1 species
GGAGAAUAGUUUCCUGGACACCCAGCCUUCCAAAAUGCUCAUAUCCUGUUCAAGUGAUGCUAUAUUUAGUAGCUGAAAAUCAAAAUCAUCACUACUGAGGAUCUAGUUAAUAUAAUCAUCCAGUCACGAGAACUAAUCUCUGAAAUGGACUUUUGUAAUAAAGAUCCAAGUUUGGAAGCAUAGUGUACACCUGAAAAGAAGAUUCUUGUGUCUAUAGCUACAGAUCUUUUUAAGAAAGAACUUACCCCUUCCUUCUAGAAACUUCACAGACCUGCAGUUCCCAUAUGUCAGCUAUCAUGUAAUAGUUACAAUUCAGCCUUCAAACCACUACUGACCAGUUAAAGGAAAACUAAGACAAUAUUUCUUUUAAACAAGUGUCCUAGAAAAUCAUUAACUGUGGCACAGGCAUUUGGGAUUGGGAAUUUGGCUGGUUGGCUGUUGAUUGGUUGGUUAAUCAGGCAAAAUGGUUUAUUAAAUACAAAAAUAGAAAGUAAUUUAUUAAAUUCAGAAAAAAAAAAUAUGAAGUUUACAAAGAAACCAAAAGGGGUAAAGGGAGCAUCUGAUUAAAAGCCUAGGCUGACAGAGUUCGUAUACAAAAAAAGUAUGGUCACAGUCCAGGAACAAACACAGCUGUCACUUUAUUGAAACAGAUUUCUAAAGAACAUGUUAGGAAAUCAAGUCC